CUUGGAGCCCUAAGGUACUACAUUAGAAGUGCAACUACACUGAAACCACCACUCUACGAGGAAGCCAAAACCCCAUGGACAAGUCACUUGCAGCUGUUACAGUAGACAGUCUUAGCUGAGCAGACUUUGAGCAUCCUAACCUGGACACUGACACAAUCCUAGAUCUGUUCAGAUAUUGGAUAACCUGGUGCCUCGUUAAGGGUCCAGCCCCAGCCCCAAGAGACUCAAGUUCUGGGUGACCCGCUUACCCAAAAUGCUUCCCAGAAGCAGAGUCUGCUGGUGACCCACUCCACUUGGCAUGGAUCAAAUGGCAACCAUUCUGCAGAAAGGGCCGACUGAGACAAGAACAUGAAGACCAGAGUCUACACACCCAGAUUACAAAGAGACAAUGUUGGAAAGAGAGAGUUUAAAAGACAGUCCUGUACCCAAAAGGUCCUAUAUCCCUUUCACAAGAUUUAGUCCAGCUCGUUAUGGAAGCAACCUCCAGCAGCUAAUUGGUAUUGCAGUGCUUCUGAGCUGUGACCUAAAAAAAGGGGGAGAUGUGAAAGCCAAAUAAAGUGACAUAAAGAAAUUCC
rnacentral:lncRNA from 1 species